UACGGGGGGAGCAAGCGUUGUUCGGAUUUACUGGGCGUAAAGGGCGCGUAGGCGGCGCAACAAGUCACUUGUGAAAUCUCCGGGCUUAACCCGGAGCGGUCAAGUGAUACUGUCGUGCUAGAGUGCGGAAGGGGCUACUGGAAUUCUCGGUGUAGCGGUGAAAUGCGUAGAUAUCGAGAGGAACACCUGCGGCGAAGGCGGGUAGCUGGCCGACACUGACGCUGAUGCGCGAAAGCCAGGGAGCGAACGGG
rnacentral:rRNA from 1 species